GACGAACGCUGGCGGCGUGCUUAACACAUGCAAGUCGAACGGUAAGGCCCUUCGGGGUACACGAGUGGCGAACGGGUGAGUAACACGUGGGUGAUCUGCCCUGCACUUCGGGAUAAGCCUGGGAAACUGGGUCUAAUACCGGAUAGGACCCUGGGAUGCAUGUCCUGGGGUGGAAAGCUUUUGCGGUGUGGGAUGGGCCCGCGGCCUAUCAGCUUGUUGGUGGGGUGAUGGCCUACCAAGGCGACGACGGGUAGCCGGCCUGAGAGGGUGACCGGCCACACUGGGACUGAGAUACGGCCCAGCCUCCUACGGGAGGCAGCAGUGGGGAAUAUUGCACAAUGGGCGCAAGCCUGAUGCAGCGACGCCGCGUGAGGGAUGACGGCCUUCGGGUUGUAACCCUCUUUCAGCACCGACGAAGCGCAAGUGACGGUAGGUGCAGAAGAAGGACCGGCCAACUACGUGCCAGCCGCCGCGGUAA
rnacentral:rRNA from 1 species